UAGAAACCUAGGCAAGCAGCCAUUCCUAGGGACAUUGCAGGACAACCUCAUUGAGAUGGACAUUCUCAGCGCCUCCCGCCAUGAUGGGGCUUACAGUGACGGGCACUUCCUCUUCAAGCCCGGAGGCACCUCCCCACUCUUCUGCACCACGUCCCCAGGGUACCCCCUAACGUCUAGCACCGUGUAUUCGCCCCCACCCCGGCCCCUGCCCCGCAGCACCUUUUCGAGACCAGCCUUUAACCUCAAGAAGCCUUCCAAGUACUGCAACUGGAAGUGUGCGGCACUAAGCGCCAUCCUCAUCUCAGCUACGCUCGUCAUCCUGCUCGCAUACUUUGUGGCCAUGCACCUGUUUGGCCUAAACUGGCACCUGCAGCCGAUGGAGGGGCAGAUGUAUG
rnacentral:lncRNA from 1 species